rnacentral:rRNA from 1 species
GACGAACGCUGGCGGCGUGCCUAAUACAUGCAAGUCGAACGCACUCUCGUUUAGAUUGAAGGAGCUUGCUCCUGAUUGAUAAACAUUUGAGUGAGUGGCGGACGGGUGAGUAACACGUGGGUAACCUGCCCUAAAGUGGGGGAUAACAUUUGGAAACAGAUGCUAAUACCGCAUAAAACCUAACACCGCAUGGUGUAGGGUUGAAAGAUGGUUUCGGCUAUCACUUUAGGAUGGACCCGCGGUGCAUUAGUUAGUUGGUGAGGUAAAGGCUCACCAAGACCGUGAUGCAUAGCCGACCUGAGAGGGUAAUCGGCCACACUGGGACUGAGACACGGCCCAGACUCCUACGGGAGCAGCAGUAGGGAAUCUUCCACAAUGGACGAAAGUCUGAUGGAGCAACGCCGCGUGAGUGAAGAAGGUUUUCGGAUCGUAAAACUCUGUUGUUGGAGAAGAAUGUAUCUGAUAGUAACUGAUCAGGUAGUGACGGUAUCCAACCAGAAAGCCACGG